rnacentral:rRNA from 1 species
AUUGAACGCUGGCGGCAGGCCUAACACAUGCAAGUCGAACGAGUGGCGGACGGGUGAGUAAUGUCUGGGAAACUGCCUGAUGGAGGGGGAUAACUACUGGAAACGGUAGCUAAUACCGCAUACCAUCAGAUGUGCCCAGAUGGGAUUAGCUUGUAGGUGGGGUAACGGCUCACCUAGGCGACGAUCCCUAGCUGGUCUGAGAGGAUGACCAGCCACACUGGAACGGAGACACGGUGCAGACUCCUACGGGAGGCAGCAGUGGGAAAGAUUGCACAAUGGGCGCAAGCCUGAUGCAGACAUGCCGCGUGUAGGAAGAAGGCCUUCGGGUUGUAAAGCACUUCCAGCGAGGAGGCGUUACUCGCAGAAGAAGCACCGGCUAACUCCGUGCGAGCAGCCGCGGUAAUUC